AACGAACGCUGGCGGCAUGCCUAACACAUGCAAGUCGAACGAGACCUUCGGGUCUAGUGGCGCACGGGUGCGUAACGCGUGGGAACCUGCCCUUAGGUUCGGAAUAACUCCCCGAAAGGGGUGCUAAUACCGGAUAAUGUCUUCGGACCAAAGAUUUAUCGCCUUUGGAUGGGCCCGCGUUGGAUUAGCUAGUUGGUAGGGUAAAAGCCUACCAAGGCGACGAUCCAUAGCUGGUCUGAGAGGAUGAUCAGCCACACUGGGACUGAGACACGGCCCAGACUCCUACGGGAGGCAGCAGUGGGGAAUAUUGGACAAUGGGCGAAAGCCUGAUCCAGCAAUGCCGCGUGAGUGAUGAAGGCCUUAGGGUUGUAAAGCUCUUUUACCCGGGAUGAUAAUGACAGUACCGGGAGAAUAAGCUCCGGCUAACUCCGAG
rnacentral:rRNA from 1 species